GGGCGCAUAGCUCAGUUGGCCAGAGCGCACGGUUCACAUCCGUGAGGUCACAGGUUCAAGUCCUGUUGCGCCCACCA
rnacentral:tRNA from 2 species